AACGAACGCUGGCGGCAUGCCUAACACAUGCAAGUCGAACGAGACCUUCGGGUCUAGUGGCGCACGGGUGCGUAACGCGUGGGAACCUGCCCUUAGGUUCGGAAUAACUCCCCGAAAGGGGUGCUAGUACCGGAUAAUGUCUUCGGACCAAAGAUUUAUCGCCUUUGGAUGGGCCCGCGUUGGAUUAGCUAGUUGGUAGGGUAAAAGCCUACCAAGGCGACGAUCCAUAGCUGGUCUGAGAGGAUGAUCAGCCACACUGGGACUGAGACACGGCCCAGACUCCUACGGGAAGCAGCAGUGGGGAAUAUUGGACAAUGGGCGAAAGACUGAUCCAGCAAUGCCGCGUGAGUGAUGAAGGCCUUAGGGUUGUAAAGCUCUUUUACCCGGGAUGAUAAUGACAGUACCGGGAGAAUAAGCUCCGGCUAACUCCGUG
rnacentral:rRNA from 1 species